AGGCUUUGGCUUUUCAGUUUGUAUAAAUUUUUCACCUUUUACUAAAAAUUUCCAUGGGGAGAAGCAGUAAUGAGUUCUCAGCCAAUUUUCUAAGAUCCUGCUUCAGCUGAUCU
ensembl:snRNA U5 U5 spliceosomal RNA